rnacentral:rRNA from 1 species
GACGAACGCUGGCGGCGGGCUUAACACAUGCAAGUCGAACGGAGUGGCGAACGGGUGAGUAACACGUGGGUGACCUGCCCUGCACCUCGGGAUAAGCCUGGGAAACUGGGUAUAAUACCGGUUAGUGUGGGAUGGGCCCGCGGCCUAUCAGCUUGUUGGUGGGGUAAUGGCUUACCAAGGCGGCGACGGGUAGCCGACCUGAGAGGGUGGACGGCCACAUUGGGACUGAGGCACGGCGCAGACUCCUACGGGAGGCAGCAGUGGGGAAUAUUGCACAGUGGGCGGGAGCCUGAUGAAGAGACGCCGCGUGGGGGAUGACGGCCUUCGGGUUGUAAACCCCUUUCACCAUCGACGCGGUAGAUUGAGAAUAAGCACCGGCUAACUACGUGCCAGCAGCCGCGGUAAUUC